UACUUCACAUGAUUAAUACUCUCAAAUGUGAAACUUGCAUGUGUUUUCAGCUGUGGAAAUUCUGAGAAAAUACCCGUUAAUACCCGUUAAUGAUCCGCUUGCAACCACGACUUUCUCCUCACAGUAGGUGGCGGUAAUGCGCGAAAUCGAUGCGAAUCGCCAAAUAAAGGCAGAAGAAGAAGAGUUCCACCUCUUCGGACUUCAUCAAGCAGGUAAGACGCGUUGACAACAAUAUAUACAACAAUGUAAUUUUAUAAGAGCUAUUGUCAUUUGCAAUAUUAAUAUAUUAAAUAACUUAUUUAAUAUUUUUAUGGUGUUCUUUGGUCACUCAGUACAUGUCUUAAUUUUCCAAUAGACUUUUAACGUCAGCAAUUUAGUUUUACAAUUAAGAUGGCUGAGCAGGACAUUGGUGCAGCAGAGGAUGCUAUGUUCCAUGCAGACCUGCUUUUGGCUCAAAUGAAAGUGAGUAUCUUUAGUUAUACAGCAGUCUGGUCAUUUUGCAAGUGAAUGGGAAUCAUACAGUAAGUAAAAAUGGAAGAAAACCCACUGCUGUUGUGUUUACAUGUAAUGUUGGUUUUCUCUCAUGCAAGGAAAAACAAAAUGAGAAAAGUACACCCCCUAACCGUGAAAGUAAAUUUCAGUGGAUUGAGAGAGAUUGUGAAGGUCGUCCACUGCUGAAAAGAAAGAGCAGAAGCGGAGAAACGCGUAUGCGUUCUUCAGCUACAGUCAUGAAUCCUUGUGAACCAGCUGAGGAGGUACCCAUGGUGACAGAACAAAACUUGUCUCAACACUUACUUGACAGUGAGAUGCAGAAACUGCAGGAGAUUCUGGCAACAACUGUUGAAGCUUCAGAUGGUCCUCCUUCAACAUCAUCAUCAUGGAGCUUGCGACAGUCUGCAGCCCAAGAUGAGUGGCAGAAAGCAA
ensembl:lncRNA